rnacentral:ncRNA from 1 species
GGGGCGUAAUCCGAAAAGCCUUAUGAGUAGGAA